UGGCGGACGGGUGAGUAACGCGUGGGUAACCUGCCUUGUACUGGGGGACAACAGUUAGAAAUGACUGCUAAUACCGCAUAAGACCACAGCACCGCAUGGUGUAGGGGUAAAAACUCCGGUGGUAUGAGAUGGACCCGCGUCUGAUUAGGUAGUUGGUGGGGUAACGGCCUACCAAGCCGACGAUCAGUAGCCGACCUGAGAGGGUGACCGGCCACAUUGGGACUGAGACACGGCCCAA
rnacentral:rRNA from 1 species